rnacentral:rRNA from 1 species
GAGCUCGUAGGCGGUUUGUCGCGUCUGCCGUGAAAGUCCGGGGCUCAACUCCGGAUCUGCGGUGGGUACGGGCAGACUAGAGUGAUGUAGGGGAGACUGGAAUUCCUGGUGUAGCGGUGAAAUGCGCAGAUAUCAGGAGGAACACCGAUGGCGAAGGCAGGUCUCUGGGCAUUAACUGACGCUGAGGAGCGAAAGCAUGGGGAGCGAACAGGAUUAGAUACCCUGGUAGUCCAUGCCGUAAACGUUGGGCACUAGGUGUGGGGGACAUUCCACGUUUUCCGCGCCGUAGCUAACGCAUUAAGUGCCCCGCCUGGGGAGUACGGCCGCAAGGCUAAAACUCAAAGGAAUUGACGGGGGCCCGCACAAGCGGCGGAGCAUGCGGAUUAAUUCGAUGCAACGCGAAGAACCUUACCAAGGCUUGACAUGGGCCGGACCGGGCUGGAAACAGUCCUUCCCCUUUGGGGCCGGUUCACAGGUGGUGCAUGGUUGUCGUCAGCUCGUGUCGUGAGAUGUUGGGUUAAGUCCCGCAACGAGCGCAACCCUCGUUCCAUGUUGCCAGCGCGUAAUGGCGGGGACUCAUGGGAGACUGCCGGGGUCAACUCGGAGGAAGGUGGGGACGACGUCAAAUCAUCAUGCCCCUUAUGUCUUGGGCUUCACGCAUGCUACAAUGGCCGGUACAAAGGGUUGCGAUACUGUGAGGUGGAGCUAAUCCCAAAAAGCCGGUCUCAGUUCGGAUUGGGGUCUGCAACUCGACCCCAUGAAGUCGGAGUCGCUAGUAAUCGCAGAUCAGCAACGCUGCGGUGAAUACGUUCCCGGGCCUUGUACACACCGCCCGUCAAGUCACGAAAGUUGGUAACACCCGAAGCCGGUGGCCUAAC